rnacentral:rRNA from 1 species
UACGGGGGGGGGCAAGCGUUGUUCGGAAUUACUGGGCGUAAAGGGCUCGUAGGCGGCCAACUAAGUCAUACGUGAAAUCCCUCGGCUUAACCGGGGAACUGCGUCUGAUACUGGAUGGCUUGAGUUCGGGAGAGGGAUGCGGAAUUCCAGGUGUAGCGGUGAAAUGCGUAGAUAUCAGGAGGAACACCGGUGGCGAAAGCGGCUCACUGGCCCGAUAUUGACACUCAUGUACGAAAGCGUGGGGAGCAAACAGG